rnacentral:rRNA from 1 species
CACGUAGGGUGCGAGCGUUGUUCGGAAUUACUGGGCGUAAAGCGUGCGUAGGCGGCUAUGUAAGACAGAUGUGAAAUCCCUGGGCUUAACCUAGGAACUGCAUUUGUGACUGCAUUGCUAGAGUGUGGUAGAGGGAGAUGGAAUUCCGCGUGUAGCAGUGAAAUGCGUAGAUAUGCGGAGGAACACCAAUGGCGAAGGCAAUCUCCUGGACCUGCACUGACGCUCAUGCACGAAAGCGUGGGGAGCAAACAGG